rnacentral:rRNA from 1 species
UGGGGAAUAUUGGACAAUGGGCGAAAGCCUGAUCCAGCCAUGCCGCGUGAGUGACGAAGGCCUUAGGGUUGUAAAACUCUUUCGUGGGGGACGAUAAUGACGGUACCCCAAGAAGAAGCUCCGGCUAACUUCGUGCCAGCAGCCGCGGUAAUACGAAGGGGGCUAGCGUUGUUCGGAUUUACUGGGCGUAAAGCGUGCGCAGGCGGUUCUAUAAGACAGAUGUGAAAUCCCCGGGCUCAACCUGGGAAUGGCAUUUGUGACUGUAGAGCUAGAGUACGGUAGAGGGGGAUGGAAUUCCGCGUGUAGCAGUGAAAUGCGUAGAUAUGCGGAGGAACACCGAUGGCGAAGGCAAUCCCCUGGACCUGUACUGACGCUCAUGCACGAAAGCGUGGGGAGCAAACAGGAUUAGAUACCCAGGUAGUCCCUGAGCGGGCUGGCAAGGCGCAU